CUCUGUCCGUAUGCCCUCCGAGGAGAGUAACUUUUCUCACUGUUUAUGUCAUCCAGGCGGAUGCUCCCCCACGUAUGGGCAACAGAAGCCACGUUGAUGAUCCGCGCGGGGACGGACUUCUUUAUGAGGUCGAGCAGAAGAUCUCUACAGGCCAUGAUGACUCGAGCUCCUGAGGAGGCAAGAUAGAAACGUUCAUAUUAAUGCGCUUUCCAUAAACCACACAAAAAAGACAGAGAGAAAAAAAAGUAUUUUAAAUAACAUUGUUUACAUAUUUCUCCUUGCAUAAGUAAUUCAUUUGGUGCUAAACUGGGAUGUAAGGCUGAUGAACCAACACAAUAGCUGUUUGCCUGGUAAUUACUGUGCAGAAAGUCUAUUAUACUAUCCAAAGCCAUUUGGUUGGCAAGCAUCAAAGUUUCUUUGUUGGAAUCCAGCGGGUCGAUGUGGGAAAGUGUGCAGUUGUACGUUUCUCUGGCAGAGAGUAUUAUAAUCCUGUCAUUUAUUUAUCAGCACGCAUUCAAUGUUUACAAGAGUCUGUCAUUUUUAAAUGAAAUAUUAUCUGUUUUCGUUUACAUUUGCUGUUUUGCGUUUGACAAUGUAACACUGCAGUGUUUAGUUUUGCAUUUUUUUUCUAUGUUCAUCUGGCAUUAUAGUGAUUUUAUAGACUGAACAAAUGCUGAAAUAAAUAUACAGCUCGGUCCAAAGUAAUUAUAUUUACUGCAAAGAGUUCAUAACACGUGGCUACAGGUUACCAGGUUAGCAGAGGAUGCCUUGCAAUGCUUUUCAUGCAAUGAAUUGUCAAAAAUUAUAAUUAUGUCCAUGCAACGCAUUUUUCUUUAAAUGUUGACCAGAAGUAUAUUUAAAUACUGUAAUAUUUCCGAUAAAAAUCAUCUGCUUCAGACAAA